rnacentral:rRNA from 1 species
UACGUAGGGUGCAGGCGUUUAAUCGGAAUUACUGGGCGUAAAGCGUGCGCAGGCGGUCUACUAAGACAGGUGUGAAAUCCCCGGGCUUAACCUGGGAACUGCGCUUGUAACUGGUAGGCUUGAGUGUGGCAGAGGGGGGGUGGAAUUCCAGGUGUAGCAGUGAAAUGCGUAGAUAUCUGGAGGAACACCGAUGGCGAAGGCAGCCCCCUGGGCUAACACUGACGCUCAUGCACGAAAGCGUGGGGAGCAAACAGG